ACAUCCAUAGUUGAAUGGUUAAAGCGCCCAACUCAUAAUCGGUGAACUCACGGGUUCAAUUCCUGCUGGUCGCC
rnacentral:tRNA from 1 species